rnacentral:rRNA from 1 species
CAUGCCGCUCUUACCAUGCAGUCGAACGGAGAUUCAGCAAUGGAUCUUAGUGGCGAACGGGUGAGUAACGCGUAGGCAAUCUGCCUUCUAGAUGGGGACAACAUCCCGAAAGGGGUGCUAAUACCGAAUGUUGUACCGUUUCCGCAUGGAGAUGAUACUAAAGGUGGCCUCUGAAUAUGCUACCGCUAGAAGAUGAGCCUGCGUCUGAUUAGCUAGUUGGAGGGGUAACGGCCCACCAAGGCUUCGAUCAGUAGCCGGUCUGAGAGGAUGAACGGCCACACUGGGACUGAGACACGGCCCAGACUCCUACGGGAGGCAGCAGUGGGGAAUCUUCCGCAAUGGACGAAAGUCUGACGGAGCAACGCCGCGUGAGUGAAGAAGGUUUUCGGAUCGUAAAGCUCUUUCGUUAGGGACGAACGUGCUCUUUGUGAAUAAUGAGGAGUAAUGACGGUACCUAAAUAAGAAGCCACGGCUAACUACGUGCCAGCAGCCGCGGUAAUACGUAGGUGGCAAGCGUUGUCCGGAAUUAUUGGGCGUAAAGCGCGCGCAGGCGGGAUAUCAAGUCUGUCUUAAAAGUGCGAGGCUCAACCUCGUGAGGGGACGGAAACUGGUAUUCUUGAGUGUCGGAGAGGAAAGUGGAAUUCCAAGUGUAGCGGUGAAAUGCGUAGAGAUUUGGAAGAACACCAGUGGCGAAGGCGACUUUCUGGACGAUGUCUGACGCUGAGGCGCGAAAGCUAGGGGAGCGAACGGGAUUAGAUACCCCGGUAGUCCUAGCCGUAAACGAUGGGUACUAGGUGUAGGGGGUAUCGACCCCUCCUGU